AGAGUUUGAUCCUGGCUCAGGAUGAACGCUAGCUACAGGCUUAACACAUGCAAGUCGAGGGGCAGCAUUUCAGUUUGCUUGCAAACUGGAGAUGGCGACCGGCGCACGGGUGAGUAACACGUAUCCAACCUGCCGAUAACUCGGGGAUAGCCUUUCGAAAGAAAGAUUAAUAUCCGAUGGUAUAUUAAUACCGCAUGGUUUUACUAUUAAAGAAUUUCGGUUAUCGAUGGGGAUGCGUUCCAUUAGGUUGUUGGCGGGGUAACGGCCCACCAAGCCUACGAUGGAUAGGGGUUCUGAGAGGAAGGUCCCCCACAUUGGAACUGAGACACGGUCCAAACUCCUACGGGAGGCAGCAGUGAGGAAUAUUGGUCAAUGGGCGAGAGCCUGAACCAGCCAAGUAGCGUGAAGGAUGACUGCCCUAUGGGUUGUAAACUUCUUUUAUAAAGGAAUAAAGUCGGGUAUGCAUACCCGUUUGCAUGUACUUUAUGAAUAAGGAUCGGCUAACUCCGUGCCAGCAGCCGCGGUAAUACGGAGGAUCCGAGCGUUAUCCGGAUUUAUUGGGUUUAAAGGGAGCGUAGAUGGAUGUUUAAGUCAGUUGUGAAAGUUUGCGGCUCAACCGUAAAAUUGCAGUUGAUACUGGAUAUCUUGAGUGCAGUUGAGGCAGGCGGAAUUCGUGGUGUAGCGGUGAAAUGCUUAGAUAUCACGAAGAACUCCGAUUGCGAAGGCAGCUUACUAACCUGUAACUGACAUUGAGGCUCGAAAGUGUGGGUAUCAAACAGGAUUAGAUACCCUGGUAGUCCACACGGUAAACGAUGAAUACUCGCUGUUUGCGAUAUACAGCAAGCGGCCAAGCGAAAGCGUUAAGUAUUCCACCUGGGGAGUACGCCGGCAACGGUGAAACUCAAAGGAAUUGACGGGGGCCC
rnacentral:rRNA from 1 species